UUAUGCUUGUAUUAAACUCGGCCCUAAUAAGAAAAAUUAGACCCCUGUGUACCCUGUGUUGUUAGUUUGACUCGAUGAUGGUUGUGAUAUAUAAAAUUCAAAUACAAACUUUCAAUAGAUACAGAUGAAAUCAGUAGCUAAAUUACUAUGAAGGAUCAAUACUUAUAUUUUUUCCAUUCACAUCUCCUACGUUUUUGAUAUGGUUUUGCUGCUUUAUGAGUGGAAUUUAUUGUUUUAGAGAACUUACUCUUUGCUAAUUAUUUUACCAGAACUAUGGUAUAGGUAUGGGCCUGUUUUUUUGUGAAUCUGUAAGUGGCUGUACAUUUUUACUGUGAAUCCCGUAAUUUCCACAUUAUUCAAAUUGAAAAGUGUAAGCAAAUCAAAACAAAAUAGCAAAUCAAAACAAGACUGAAAAAGUGCUGCACGUGUGAACAGGUCUGAAGGAUUGGCCUGAUGUUGGUUCAGAAUCGGGUGAAUGUUGGACCAUACUUAAAAAAAACCUUUUUUGAUUUUUUAAAUACAUAAUUAGAGGCCUAAAAAAUAAGGGCCUUUUUUAGAAUGUUGACCCUAAAUAAAUAAAUUAAAGAAUCGUUUGAGCGAAUAAAAAUUAUGGACAAGAACGGUCAACUACUUUCAUCGUUUGCACGAAAUCUGGUUAGGUAUUUCUGAUAAUAUCAACAGGAGGCGCAAGAAUGCGAUGUCACUCGCAAUACGUUGAAUUUAAAACGACCGUUGAGUUCACGGACGAUGGAAUUUUCAUAAGUAUUACGUUUGCUUGCCUGUGUUGAUAGUAUCCAAGGUCCACGGUAGUAACAUAAAUAAUAUAUUACACUGUAUUAUUCAAACAUUCUCGUUUUUUUUUUAAUUUUUUCGAAUAAUAAGCUGAAUAUAGAACACAUACAAACAGAAGAUAAAAAAACAGAUAUUACACUGUAAACAUUCGUUCAUAUUCUCGUUUAUUCUCUUUAUUCUCAUAAAGUGCAUAUUGACAUUAUAACUGAAACGUAUAUAAAACCUGAGAUCUCCAUCAAAAGAGAUCCUAAUUAUCGCUAGUCAAGUUGAAAACAGGAAUGGGGAACUAUCUUGACAGCGCCUGUGGUGGGGUUGCUAUCGGCAUGAAUAGAUGAAUCAAACAUGAAUGCUUUUCUUCAUUUGAAACUUUGGAUGUUUCUGUUGACGAAAAUAUUGGAAAAUUUUCCUUCAUUGGUGCCUACUUACCUUUUCAAUGCAAUGGACAGCAAAAUAAUUUGAUGAAAGCUGACAUAAUCUAAAUUUUCAUAGAGCUGAUUGGGAUUUUGAAAGGGACGUCGAAGCCAGAGGCAUUACAAUUCCUAAAUGUGAAAUUGAAUUCAAAUGCAUUAUUAUUGACGAUGAUCUUCAGCUACUGAUCCGUCUUAAAAAUGUGAGGCAAAGACAGUAUCAAAGAUUUUUCGAUCCCGCUGUGUAAACUUUUUGGCGAGACUAGUAAAAUGAAAUUAAAGCCCAUAUAAAUCCCGCCCUAGCGGUGAUGGUGCUUUUCUUGUGCAUUAUAAAAUGUAUUAAGAAAAGUAUACAAGAUAGAACAAAAAAGCAUUUUAGGGAGAUAUAUCCUAUUAUUUCCAUGAAUUCCCAUUUGAGAAACAGUUCAUCUUGAUUCGCGCAGUUAUGUAAAACUUUGUAUUGGUCAUUUUAAAGUACACUAACAAAAAUCCACACAUUUUUAUUGGCAAAGAUCUAAAGAAAUUUACAAAUAUAUUUUAUGUGUGCGUUAAUAACCACCCACUAUAGGAGAAUCCAGAUAAAGGUUAUUAGUUAAUAAGGGUUAUGUGUGUUUUCACAUAUAUGCUAUGCGAAAUUUUGAGUACGAAACAAUGGGACCGGAUUCCACGUCGAAUGAAACUUGUUGCGAACAAAUCGGUCCAGAAAAAGUACCUAACAAUGAAAGAGUUUUUUUAACGCACGUACAUACACACAGACAGACUUCACCACAUCGCCUCAGUUCGUCGAGCUGAUUCGAUUGGUAUAUAAUACUCUAUAUCUUCUGUAUAGUGGGUGAUAAUGGGUCAAAUGGGGAUGGGAUUGGGUGUCUGUUUCAACUACAUAGAAUCACAGAGAACAGACGUUCAUCUCAUGUCGCAAAGUUGUGUAAAACUUUGUACUAGUCAUAUUGAAGUAUGUCGUUAUGCCCCCGUUGCGCAGUGCUAGUGUGCUGAGAAUGUUGGUGAAUAUUUGCCGUAUUUUAUUUUUAGGCACUUCAUUCCGAAUUGUCACUAGAUGGCAUUUUGUAUGAGCCUCCAUGUCUGUUCUCUGUGAUAGAAUGCUUGUAGAAUAGAUUUAAUGCAUCUUUGGGCAAGAAAACUAAAUUAGAACUUGAACUAGAACUUGAAUUAGAACUAAAUUAGACUUUUUUAACCGAUUCAAUACGAAAAUCAGCUGUCAAAAAUCAGAUUCAAUACGAAAAUCAGCUGUCAAAAAUCAGUUUUAAGAGAUAGAGCUUUGCUUUCUUCAGUAAAAAAGUUUAAAAUUAACUGCUCCAUCUAGGAAAAAUAUUGUACUCACUGUUUUUAUGAGUUGGAAUAGCUCCACAGUACCUCGUAACAUCAUUACAGACACAUUCCAGACUCGACAUCUACGACUCUCCAAACUAUCCUUGAGUAUAGAUCUUAAUAUUCAAAACGAUCAUCAUGAAGAUCUUCGAUGACUCAACUAUUUUUAUGAGUUGAAAUAGCUCCACGGGACUUCAUUACAUCAUUACAGACAAACUACAUAAUUCUUUCGACAUCUACGACACUCCAAACUAUCCUUGAGUACAGAUCUUAAAGUUCAAAUCGACGAACAAGAAGAUCUACGGUGUCCUCAUUAGUUUUAUGAGUUGGAAUAGCUCCAAGGUACCUCGCAACACCAUUACAGACACACCACAGAACUCGAUCAACAUCUAUGACACUCCAAACUAUCCUUGAGUACAGAUCUUAAUAUUCAAAUCGAUCAACAUAAAGAUCUUUGAUGUCCUUACUAGUUUUAUAGGUUGGAAUAGCUCCAAGGUACCUCGUAACACCAUUACAGACACACCACAGAUUUCGAUCAAUAUCGACGACACUCCAAACUAUCCUUGAGUACAGAUGUUAAUGUUCAAAUCGAUCAACAUGAAGAUCUCCGUUGUCUCAACUAUUUUUAUGAGUUGGCUCCACGGGACUUCAUUACACCAUUACAGACAGACUACAGAAUUCGUUCGACAUCUACGACACUCCGAACCAGGCAUUACAAUUUAACCCAUCAUUCGAUCCUCUGAGCAAAGAUACUGAUGAUAUGCUGGGAUAUCGAUCUUAGUUAUCUAUCUGCUCAGUAAACAAAGUGCAAUGUUCGCCAUGAAGAAAAGUUUUUUCACUGCUUUUGUUGUAGCAACGCCCUCGCAACGUGAACAAACCCCAAACCGCGCUGGCUAUCAGGAUCAUCAUCAAAUGCUCAAAUGAUAAUAUCUUUUCAGAGUGCUCUUUGAUUAGGGAUAAAAUCUUUGCACAAGCAAAGAUGAUAUCUUUUACUCAGAUGAUAUUGCAAUGCCUGCUCCGAACUAUCCUUGAGUACAGAUCUUAAUAUUCAAAUCGAUCAACAUAAAGAUAAGACCAUUACAGACGCACCACAGAAUUUGUUCAAUAUCUACGACACUCCAAACUGUCCUUGAGUACAAAUCUUAAUAUUCAAAACGAUAUACAAGAUCUUCGAUGUCUCAACUAUUUUUAUAGUUUGGAAUAGCUCCACGAAACUUCGUUACACUAUUAUAGAAACAUUACAGAAUUUAUCGAACUUUAACGACACAACAAACUGUCUUUGAGCUCAGAUCCCAAUAUUCAAAUGGAUCAACAAGAAGAUCUUUGAUGUCCCCACUAUUUUUAUGAAUUGGAAUAGCUCCACGGUUUUGGAGACGAGCCAGCCUCGGACUGAAAGUAACAUCACUACAUACACACUACAUACUUCGGUCGACAUCUACGACCCUCCAAAAUAUCCUUGAGUACAGAUCUCAAUAUGCAAAUCGAUCAACUUGAAGCUCCUCGAUGUCCCUACUAGUUUUAUGAGUUUGAAUAGCUCCACGGGACUUCACUACAGCUUUCCAGACACACUACAGAAUUCGUUCAAUAUCUACGACACUCCAAACUGUCCUUGAGUACAGAUCUUAGUACUCAAAACGAUCAACAUGAAAAUCUUCGAUGACUCAACUAUUUUUAUGAGUUGGAAUAGCUCAUGUAUGGUAUCGUACAUAUUAUUUGUAUAUGCUGGUGUAAUGAUAUCCAAUGGGACUUCUAAAACUAACAUACAAGCUCGAGAACCUAUGGAUUACUCUGUUGAUCUUGUAAACCUUCAAUAUAUGAACUCAAGAAUGCUUUGGAGUACCGAAGAUAUUCUGGGAAUGUUAUAAUUUUUAUAAGGUACCCCGGGGAAAGUGUGACCUAAAAAAACGCUAGUUCAGCAAAAUCGCCAAAGCAUACUUAGAAAACAAGGUAUUUCAGGACAUUAACCACGGAUACAUCAUUAUAUGCUUCCGUUGUUGAAGUGUAGACGUGUUGCGAGCAAUUUAUUCAGUUACAAGAAUAUUGGUAGUGACUUAAAUAAAUUUACCUGUGGGACCCACUUACCCCUUCAAACGGGGCAAGUGGGACCUGUUCUGCUAUAUACUGUCGAACGAAACUAAUUUGAAAAAUGUAGAUAUAAUGCUCAUGUAAUUUCUGAGUCGUAGUAUUUCAGAUCAUGGAUGGAGGUUUAUUGCUUGUCAGACUUUUGUUUCUAGCAAAAGAAAGGGAUUACAAUGUUAGCAGAUAUAAAAUCAAGGCAACAGCCGAUUUACCGUUUAAUUGUCUGUUGUAUGGCUUUACAUUAGCUUACUUUCUUACCAAAUGUGUUAGAUGGAAGAGAUAAGCAAAUCUUUGAUCACUUUUCGAAUAAAUGUUUCUCUGUUUAACACAAAUUAUUACAUAAACUAGAACCUUAAAAGGAACGUUUUUAUUCAGGCGGUGUUGUAAAUUUGUAAUAGAACGAAAUGGCCAAUUCAUGUCUUAAGCACUAUUUAUCUUAAAAUCUGUUAAUCUGAUGCGAAGUUUAAAAAUAACAAAACACAAGACAAAACCUGUUGAUCUAUUGUAGAAUAAGAAGAUUGUUUGCACUGUAAACGGAGAAUUUGGCAUAGAUAUAACCAUUGCUCUCUUCCAUGAGGGAGAUAAUUUUCAGAAAGUAAAAUACAUAUUAGGUAAAUCAACUGUACACUACUUCUUAACAACUAAACCAACGAUAUCAACUGCAUAUGAUUCAGAUCAAUAUGACAUAUGAGUGUCGAAGUUAUUUUUUUUCACUAGACAACAAUCUAAGGCUGUGAACCAUUCCACCGAUUCGUUUAACUUUUAGUUAAAAUUUAACACUUCGAUGGUUAUUUUCCCAUCGUGGUUAAAAUUUUACUCCGAAGUCGACCCAUUUGAGUUCUGACAGAUUGAUAGUUAUUCGGAACGAAAUGGAUUUGGCGCCAAUUUUCUCGCGAACAAAGUUUAACUAUCGAACUGUCAAAUCUAACCAUGCUCCGGAGCAGGGUUAUUUUUAACCACGGCGAAAUAACCACCGAACUGUCAAAUUUUAACUAAAAGUUAAACGAAUCGGUGGAAUGGUUCACAGCCUAAAAACAGGUAAAAUGGCCCUAUCGAAAAUGUUGUUCGAAUAUGUCCCACUUGCCCCAUGUAAUCAAAACUUUUAAAUCGUUUUUGAUGUCACAUAAUUAUUUAAUUGCUCAAAAUAUUCACUUUCCACAUCAAUGAUGAGUUUAGGAACGACUAUUUUGUUGAAAAUCUAUAGAAUUAAAAUAAAAGUGACAGAUUUUGCCGGUAGUUUAAAGUCAUGAUUAAACAAUACCAUUAGUAUGGUGCCGCAAAUGGUUUUGAUUCCUUUUUUUUUUGUGUCAGGCGAAUUCGUUGAUAGGGGGCCCUCCUUAGCCGUGCGGUAAGACGCGCAGCUACAAAGCAAUACCAUGCUGAGGGUGGCUGGGUUCGAUUCCCGGUGCCGGUCUAGACAAUUUUCGGAUUGGAAAUUGUCUCGACUUCCCUGGGCAUAAAAGUAUCAUCGUGUUAGCCUCAUGAUAUACGAAUGCAAAAAUGGUAAACUGGCUUAGAAACCUCGCAGUUAAUAACUGUGGAAGUGCUUAAUUAACACUAAACUGCGAGGCGGCUCUGUCCCAGUGUGGGGAUGUAAUGCCAAUAAGAAGAAGAAGAAGAAUUCGUUGAUAAUUCUGCUUCAUCUUUCUAGAACAGUGUUACCAUUAAAAACGUUCACAGAUUAAUUGGCAGCCAUAGUACCCACUUACCCCGUAUUUUCACUUGCCCCGGAGUACCUUACCUGAUUUACCUCCAGGGUGUUAAAAAUCUUUGUUUGCAGAUGACACGGAUCUUUCCGCCAAAGGGCGAAGCUUUCGAAUAAUUUGCAGUAGAUUGCAGAAAAGCUUGAAUACUUUUCCACUUACUUGCAAAAAUGGAAAAUUUCCCCAAAUGCCUCCAAAACUCAACCUAUAACUUUCUCACAUAAGCCGAGCACUUCUUAUUUGGAACCUGGGGUUUUCAAUUAAUUAGUCUAGCUGAGCUAAAUAUUUGUAACUUAUGCUAGAUUAAAAUUUCACUUAUAAAACGAACAGUGGGUAAUGUCUGUGACAUAACCGCUAAGUGGACGUAGGACUUGACUUGACCAUGCCUUCAAGAUACAUAAUAUGUCCAAAUUUCUCACAUCAACUAUUUUGGAUAAAUAAUCGACGUUGCAUACCCUUCCUUGGCAAAAUCUUCUCAUCAAACCGACACAGAAAUCAAAUCUACCUCGAACAAGAAUCAUCAAAAAAAAAUCAGGAAGUAUCUGUCCGGUCACGAAAUAUUAGCCUCGACAGUGGCAACCUUCCCACUGAAGGACUGCCUGAAAUUAACCACAAGUUGGCUCAGCAGGGGAUGUAGACUGUAUCUCAGCCAUCUCAGCCCUUCCACUGAAGAGCCUUCUAAUCCGUGCGAUAGCGACUGAAGGAGAACAUUAUUUUUAACUCUUAGAGCCUUGAAAAAGGCUGUUUGCUUCGGCUAAGUGCAAAAAGUAAGAAAAUGAUCUUUUCAAAUAACCGCGAAUUUCUAGUGAUGGUACAAAAAAGACUGAAUGCUCUGCGAGCGAAUGCACUUUUCUUUUAUACUUAAUUCUGAAUCUUUUCUGCUUCCCAAUUGGUGGGCCAAUCAGCUAGUGUCUUGUAUCCCGCUUCUUUGUCAGCCAAAGCGUCAUCAUCAGCAACGCGUUCGAGAAGGGCUUCUUCUUUUUUACGCUUGUUGCUCGCUGCUGGCGUCUAUUUCAUAACGGGACUUUUCGCUAGAUACAGGCCAAUAAGCCGGGCAAGCGAGCUUAGAAUUGCAGUUCAGGUGGGAAGUACGUGUUCUUUUCUGAGACAACAUUGUUAGUAGUAGAAGGAAGGAAACACCAUGGGAUUUCGGGUGAUAAGAAAAACAUGGGAUUUCGGGUGAUAAGAUUUAGAAUUGGUAACAUGGGACGAUCAUUCAGUCACGUUCGCUUUGUGUGCGGUUAGUAUCAAACAAUGUUUAUCUACAUAUUUUUUAUCAAUGCCAAAAAAUCCAACAUUUGAUGAAAAAUCGAUUGAUAGUUUAUUAAUGUUUGAGCUGUUAUCGGUGUUUUUUUUUUAUCCAAAUAAGAUUAUGUGAGAGAUUUGGACAUCUUAUGAAUCUUUAAAGGCAUGGUCAAGCGAAGUCCUUCGUCCACUUCGCGUUUAAAUCAGAAAAAUUAUCCACUGUUAGUUUUGACGCUAUUUAUGAAAAUCACGCAUAAAAUUUUAUCUCUAGAAUAUUGGAUUUGGCACCCAAGUACAUUGUCUAUCCCGAAGGGUAUUGAAACUUGAAAGCAUUGAUAUUGAUCUCUAUUAUUGGCUCUCUGAUGAACCGUUUGUUUUUUAGACAUACAUGCUGCAUCAUGUGGCUUUUCUUCAGCCUGUCUUGGCUCAGCACCGAUGCCGGCCGGUCUCGGCUCGACUCUGCUGCUGCUGCCGGUAUCUGCUCAGCAUUGCUGCUUUGUCGGGUCUGUAGGAUGGACUGCUGCUGUCGGCUGCUGAUCGGCUGAUGAUGGUGGCUUCGAUGGUGUCGAGCCGAAAAAGCGGUCGGUGCAGACUUCAUUCCCUGCUAAAAGGUGUGAGUGCUGUUCAAUCGAUGAUGCGGUUGCUUCGCUUGUCCCGGUCAGAAUGAAAGGAAAAAAUCGCGUUGCGCUAUUUUAUGGCUUCUCGGCAGACCCAGCGGCUGCUCAUUCGCUGGUGUCUGCACCAAUCAGAACGUGGUAAUGGAAUGAUGCAAGAAUGAAUUAUUGGCAGUGGCUGAUUUUCUACUCGCCGCAGCCACAUCCAGGCGCUAUAGUAUAUGCACAAAAUAGCCAGCAAGAGUUAACCGCCAGAAAUUUGUAUGGCGAAAGACAUCUAACGCUGGUUUUCUCAAAAUUAGGAACUUUUCAUGAAAAACUAUUUGGUAUCGGUUAUGAGGGAUGGUGUCCGCUACUACGCCUACCAAAUAUUUUUUCGAUUAAAGUGCUUAAUUUUGAAAAAUCGAACCUUAGAUGCCUUUCGCCAUACUGAUUUCAGGAAGUUAACUCCUAGUGUGCCGCUGUAAGCACGCUCAAAGCAGUCGAUUCAUUAUGCGGUACCCAUAUUUAUAGGUUCCCUUGAUCUCAAUGUUUUUCAUUGAAAACAGUUUCAUGCCUAUUGAAACAAGUUUUUCGGGUCUUAUCAAGCAUGGACAUGGAAGGCAUACCUGAAAUCUGUCGAUUGAGGGGCUUACCGGAGAAAUUCGUCCACUGAGACGAACGCUAUUAACGUUUAAAAGUUUUCAACACAGCGUAACGCGGUCGAUUUGAAUAUUUUGAAAUGACACCCGGUAUAGUAAAGAGAGACGUAAGUCCUACGUCAAACAUCACAUUGAAGGCACUCAUGCCAAAUGUAACAAAUAUGUUAAUCUUUUAAGAUUUCGGAUCAAAUUAACUCGAAUUUGACUUAGCAAUAUCUAAGGCAUUUUUCCGCUAAAUUGUUUAUGUACCUAACCCAAAAUAAUCGCCAGCUAAUAAAUGUUCCGAAACUCGGAGGAAGGAUCGUCAGUUCGCCAUUUUUAUAUGGAGGAAAAUUGCACAACAACACCGCACAUUAACGAUUUUAUUGCUGUUUUUCUCAAAAAUGUGCCCAAUACUAUUUUAGAGAUGACGUAUAACGAAUGCAGUCAAUCUUUCUAUAGAUAGCAAUAGCAAGUCAUGGUGUUCAAUCCGGAUGUCAUAAGUUCUUCAAAUCGUUCUGGAGUUCGGACCAAUUGGUCUAACAAAUCAACUAGGUUCGAUACCAAGCCAACAGCAGCCCAUGGUGUCCAAACAGGCCCAUAGAAGCUAUGGGCCUAUGGGCAUGAUUUACUAUUCAGAUAUGGCCAAAUUGGAUGUCCUAAUUUCUUCAAAUUCAAUGAUUUAUAACUUAGAUGGCCAAAUUGGAGAACUUAGAACAUCCUGUUUGUACAUAUCUCUAAGGGCCUGUAUGAUUACCAUGGUCUGCUAUUGAUUUUUGAUCGAGUCCAGUUCUCUUGGUAGACCAGUUGGUCUAAACUUCAGAAUGUUCUGGAGAACUUAGAACAUCCAAUUUGGAAUAUGAAAAUCGGUAAGCAUGCGUGUCAUAGCCCCUCGGCGUCGUUUUGCCUCUCAGCAGCAGCCCUGUGUGUCGUCAUAUCAGCCGUUUGAUACCGCAACAAGUACAACGAUGCAAGCGAAUGACAUUGUCCCUAACUGAUAGUGCGAUUGAUGCUUGGAUUGAUAAGUUGGCAAAUAGAUUAAAGAACAAUAGCUAGAGUUCAUGCGAUAGCACAAAGUGUGAACACAACGUGGGGUCUCCAGUAGCCUUGCGAGCAAAGGCGUUGGAGAUUGCCAAUGUGGAGAUGACGAGUUCGACUUUCGGUCCGGUCUAGGAUGCCACACAAGAUACAUACUCAUGCAAUGGCGGGCAUAGAAAAGCUUUUUAUUAAUAACUGAGGAUAUGCUAAUAGAAUACUAAGUUUAAAAGCUGGCCAAGUUCCAGUUGAAAUGUAGAGCCAUUGAAGAAGAAGAAGUAGAAGACAACGUGUGAUAUUUGCAGUUUAUAUAACAAUUUAUUUUUAUUUAUAACUAUACUGAAGUGAAACUGGUGGUAAUAAUAUACACUUACCUAACACGCAUGCAUAUUUAUUUACUAAAUUUAUAUUGAAAUCAGCAGUUUACUGCUACAGUACAAAGUGAUACGACAGAUUGUUAUUGAUACAGCAAUAAACUACAAAAUGAGGUAAGAAGUUCACAUAAACUAUAUGUGCAAUGCAAUUUAAUAAUAAUAAUAAUAAUAAUAAUAUUUAAAGUGACUAAACUAAACAGCAUUCGAGGGAAAACAAAUUGCUGUAUGCAAUAAUACACUGCCGAGAUACGAACGCAGAAAAAAUAGAAUUGCACUAAAACGUAAGUUGAUUUACCUUGAGCUAUAACCUAAAACAAACCCUAAAAUAUAUUGUAUACACCAUAGGAAUUUAAAACGGGUCUUAACUUUGUACGAAUACAGGACGUUACUGAUUUUGGAAGCAUUAAUCUGUUUUGCCUUUCUCGUACACCUAGGUGUAACGAAAAGGCUAUGCAUUCACUCCAAAGACGAUUAUGUGAUAGAAGGCACGGAGACCCAUUGUGUUAUAUACCAAUUGCUCGGUGAGUUGAGAUGAUGUCUGUCUGUGUGUGUAUGUGCGUGUGUGUAUGUAUGUGAGGAAAAUAAAGCUCACUCACUCAAACUUAUCUUAAACCGAUUUGUUUGCAACAAGUUGCGUUCGGCAGGGAAUCGUUUCCUAUUGAAAACUAGUCAUAUCGGACUAUGGAAUCAGAAGUUAAGGCCAAAAUACUAUUUUCAAUGCACAAUCACCGCUAGGUGGAUAAAUCAAAGGGUUUUCAUUUAUUACCAUGUUGGGAACGUUAAAGUGCGCAUGGUCUGUAUGGGCCUGUAUGCACACCAUGGUUGGUCUGAACUCAAGAAUAAUUUGGAGAACUAGAUCAUCUGUAGAAAUAUUGACUGCAUUUGUUAUUCGUUAUCUCUGAAAUAGUAUUGGGUACAUUUUCGAUAAGAAACAGUGACAAAACCGUUUAUGCGCUUUCAAUUGCAACGAUUAGUUACUAGUACCUUUAGUAUUAAUUGGAUUAAGUUUAGUUUAGGUUAAACACAUUGUAAUUAUCACAUGGUUCAAUUCAACCAAAGGAAAUAUCCCUUCUGCUAGACGCAAUUUAAAUGUUUUAAUUUUAACUAAAAAUGUCUCAGCAAAUAAGGAUAAUAAAUCAAACACGGAGCACCCAGUCUAAAAGAUGAAUGCAUGUUUUAGAUAAUCAGCGAAUAAAAUUAGUAAAGAAAAGUGUUCAGAGUACUGGCUUGUAACAUUGAUAUUUUAUAUCAUGACGAUAUUAAUAUGUUAUUCAAUUCGUAGUCGGGACGGCCCACGAACAAAGUAUAACUAGUGAUUUUGUAUUGUGUUCCCUUUCUCCUUAAAAUUAACAAAAUGCAUUUGGUGGAAAAAAAAUUAAUCAAAUAAAAUGUUGCAGCAGA